UACGUAGGGGGCAAGCGUUGUCCGGAUUUAUUGGGCGUAAAGAGCUCGUAGGCGGCUCGGUAAGUCGGAUGUGAAACCUCCAGGCUCAACCUGGAGACGCCAUCUGAUACUGCCGUGGCUUGAGUCCGGUAGAGGAGCAGGGAAUUCCUGGUGUAGCGGUGAAAUGCGCAGAUAUCAAGAGGAACACCAGCGGCGAAGGCGCUGCUCUGGGCCGGUACUGACGCUGAGGAGCGAAAGCGUGGGGAGCGAACAGG
rnacentral:rRNA from 1 species